rnacentral:rRNA from 1 species
UGCAAGUCGAGCGAAUGGAUUAAGAGCUUGCUCUUAUGAAGUUAGCGGCGGACGGGUGAGUAACACGUGGGUAACCUGCCCAUAAGACUGGGAUAACUCCGGGAAACCGGGGCUAAUACCGGAUAACAUUUUGAACCGCAUGGUUCGAAAUUGAAAGGCGGCUUCGGCUGUCACUUAUGGAUGGACCCGCGUCGCAUUAGCUAGUUGGUGAGGUAACGGCUCACCAAGGCAACGAUGCGUAGCCGACCUGAGAGGGUGAUCGGCCACACUGGGACUGAGACACGGCCCAGACUCCUACGGGAGGCAGCAGUAGGGAAUCUUCCGCAAUGGACGAAAGUCUGACGGAGCAACGCCGCGUGAGUGAUGAAGGCUUUCGGGUCGUAAAACUCUGUUGUUAGGGAAGAACAAGUGCUAGUUGAAUAAGCUGGCACCUUGACGGUACCUAACCAGAAAGCCACGGCUAACUACGUGCCAGCAGC